CAGUGUGAAUAUCAAAUACUGUUGACAGUUUACCUUGGCAAUGGGGAAAAAUUUGAGUUAAUUGUUCCUAUAUCUGUGAUAGUUGUCGAAAAAAAUAAACAGUGGGAUACAUGGAUACAGCCAGGUUGGAUAACUAAUGAUUCAUCAAAUGUACAGUCUAUAGAAGACAGUGUUCUUAGGGUACCAGAAAACAUAUUGUCAAGUGAACCAUUCUCUAGUUUACCAGGAUUUCAACCAUUAUGAUAUGAUCUCGACAUUGAGUAUAUAUUCACCAUUUAUAAAGACAGACUAUAAGAAUCUUACUUUUGCUGCGGUACAGACUUGAAUGUCUGGCUUCAGGGUUGCCAGUACAGCUGAGUUUCAGCUAAACAGUUAACAAAGUGCCUGAUAUUGCUGUCUUUGAUGACAGCCAUUGUUUGAUUUUUUUUUUCGUAUAUGUUACAUAUUUACUAGAGUUCAAUAAGAAAUAACUUACAUAAUUUCAUAAAGCAAAAUUAUAGUAGCGUAUGAAAUUACACCUUCAGUGUCAACCUCAUCUUAAGCACGUGGUUCAUUCUUAAAGGCCUUAGAAAGACAUUAUUUAAUGCAUGCCCCUCAUCUUAUACCUAGUGGGUUGAAAGAUUACAGUUUCCAGCCUUAGUGCAAAUAUUAGAAAAUCCAGUGUGAUAUGCAAAAGAAAAUGAGCCUCGUCAUGACAAAACCAACAUAAUAAUGGGU